GAUGAACGCUGGCGGCGUGCCUAAUACAUGCAAGUCGAGCGAACAGACCAGGAGCUUGCUCCUCUGACGUUAGCGGCGGACGGGUGAGUAACACGUGGAUAACCUACCUAUAAGACUGGGAUAACUUCGGGAAACCGGAGCUAAUACCGGAUAAUAUAUUGAACCGCAUGGUUCAAUAGUGAAAGACGGUUUUGCUGUCACUUAUAGAUGGAUCCGCGCCGCAUUAGCUAGUUGGUAAGGUAACGGCUUACCAAGGCAACGAUGCGUAGCCGACCUGAGAGGGUGAUCGGCCACACUGGAACUGAGACACGGUCCAGACUCCUACGGGAGGCAGCAGUAGGGAAUCUUCCGCAAUGGGCGAAAGCCUGACGGAGCAACGCCGCGUGAGUGAUGAAGGUCUUCGGAUCGUAAAACUCUGUUAUUAGGGAAGAACAAAUGUGUAAGUAACUAUGCACGUCUUGACGGCACCUAAUCAGAAAGCCACGGCUAACUACGUG
rnacentral:rRNA from 1 species